rnacentral:lncRNA from 1 species
UCGUUUUAUGAGGUAAUGUUGUGACAUUCAAGAAACUAUUAGUAAACCUUGUUAAAGGAAAAGUGUAGACACCUUAUUUAGGCCCAAAUUAAUUGAACUUGGAUUCAUUUCAAGUCUAAUUGUUGAAUUUGGUUUUUUUCUAUAUGUAUAUUUUAUUUUUGCUUUAUUCUUUUAUUUUCAAUUUAUUGUUAUCUGUAUAAAUAUAUAUUUAUUUUAUUUAUCCUUUUUACUUUAUCAUGAUUGUUUAUCUGUUGAGUUAAUUUUUAAUUAUUUAGUUUUAUUUGUCUUGUUUUUGAUUGAUUAAUUAUCUGUUUUAAGGAAAAUCAAAAUUUAAAAUUAUUGGCUAGGGUCUUGAUAAUUUCAUGAAGUGAAGCUAAAAUUUUGUAGAUAAUUCAUGAGUUUUGAAACUCAAUUUGAUCUUAAACUCUUUUCUCUCAAGGAUUUUGACUUUAUAUAAAGCAAAGGAAGGAAAUGAUCAAUACCCAAAAAUCAAAAAGAGGAAAGACAUAGACGAAAGGUAGAAAAUUGAUAGCAAAUUUUUCAUGCAGUGGGGUUUAAUUUCGGGUAGUACUUUUGUUCUUAGGUUUGGCGGAUUUUAAGAGUAAUUUUUGAGAAAAUUUGAGGUUAAAUAGGUUUUGGGAAGUCAAGAUUUGUUAAAAAGAAGCUGCUGGAAUCUUUCCACAAAUUUCUAGAAUUUUUUGGUGAAAUUCAAACUUUUCAAUGAAAUCCCUAAUUUUUGACGACCGAUCCCAAUUUCCAGCAACAUCCAUAGAAUUUCGACAAGAAUUUCCGAUUUUCAAUGAGAUCCUGAUCAAAAACCCAAACCUGAUAGAAAUUCUGACCACGAAUGAUUUUUUUGAUGAAAAUCUAUAAAAUCUAGCUAUUGAUGUUUCUCUCUUAGAGAGAGAAGUAGAAGAGAUGAGAAAAAGAGAGAGGGAAAACAAACUUUAGAAAAAAAAUUUUUCUUUCGCUUUUUUAUCGAAUUGAAAUGGCAAUGUUUUG